rnacentral:rRNA from 1 species
UACGAAGGGGGCUAGCGUUGCUCGGAAUGACUGGGCGUAAAGCGCGCGCAGGCGGUCUUCCAAGUCAGUGGUGAAAGCCCGGAGCUCAACUCCGGAACUGCCAUUGAAACUGUAAGACUUGAGGAUGAGAGAGGUGAGUGGAAUUCCCAGUGUAGAGGUGAAAUUCGUAGAUAUUGGGAAGAACACCGGUGGCGAAGGCGGCUCACUGGCUCAUUACUGACGCUCAGGCGCGACAGCGUGGGGAUCAAACAGG